rnacentral:tRNA from 1 species
UAGGAUUUGGUGUAGUGUGGUAGCACGGAGAUUUUUGAAGUCUCAGGGUUGGGUUCGAUCCCUAGAGUCCUAG